CACGGGGGGAGCAAGCGUUGUUCGGAAUCACUGGGCGUAAAGGGCGUGUAGGCGGUCAAGUAAGUGGGAUGUGAAAUCCUUCGGCUUACCCGAAGACCUGCAUCUCAAACUGCUUGGCUUGAGUAUGGGAGAGGAUGAGGGAAUUCCUGGUGUAGCGGUGAAAUGCGUAGAUAUCAGGAGGAACACCGGUGGCGAAGGCGCUCAUCUGGCCCAAUACUGACGCUGAGGCGCGAAAGCUAGGGGAGCAAACGGG
rnacentral:rRNA from 1 species